AAAAGUUUCCGUUAAAGUCGGACUCGCCGGAGCAAAGGACGAGAAAGGUAAAAGGUUAAACCCUUCACUCAUUCUGAUUUUACUUAGUUGAUGAUGAUAGUUUUGUUUGAUUAGGUUGCUUGAACUAAAAUCUGGACUAUUUUGUUGUUAUGAUGAGUUUUAGAAAUCUGAACUUUUUAAAAAAUUACUCAUAUUUUUGAAAUGUUAUCAUUUAGUGUCAUCCUUGAUAAAAUUUCAGCAACUUGUUAAGUUUGAAUCUUAUUUUAGGGUUUGCUAGGACGCUUACCAACAUGAAACGUUUCCUUGAUUAGUCAUAAUGAAUAUUCGAGGAUGAUGUUUAGGAGAGUAUAAGUGCCACCAAAUGUAUGUAUGAAUAUUGCAUGAAUGCUUUUGAAUAGGAAUGUUUGGAUGAUUACCUUUGAAUCGAAGCUUCUUUUUUUUGUCGUGUUUCAGGUGGUAGUCCCUUGCGAAUGACGACAAAGUGAAUGACGGUAGAAUCGGUUGUACUUAGGUUUAGCUCGUGUUUGUAACUUGUUGUAAUAAUUUUUUUUUCUUCUUUAUUUUGGAUUGGGACUUGGGGUGCAGAGAUUUUCCGUCCCAAAAACCAUCCCCCUCCAUUUCUCCACUUGCUUGUCCAUUUAAAUGAAGAAAAGGGGCUGCCACCUCCCCUCUCCUCCAAUGAAACUUUGCAACGUUUUUGAAACAAAACAAGAGGUGGCAGCCUCUUCAUUAAUAACAGUAGCGGGCCCAAAAUUGGGCCCUGCAAUCGGGCCCAAGAACAUUGACAUUUCGACGUAGAAAAACAUUACGAAACUAAAAGUACGAACGCCCGGACAAAUUUGGUUACUACAGAGAUAAUCUAAAUAUAAAAAUUCAUUUCGAGUAACCUACUAUGUUGUUUAGAAGUUGCAACAGAGCAGAACCAUAUGUGCGGCCAAAUGUGUAGCUAAUUUGGGAUGUAGAGUUAUAUGAGCAUCAGACUUGGACUUGAAACAUUAAAUUUUAUACAUAGUUGAUUUCAUUGUGGUUUAUCCACGUAUUAGGCC
rnacentral:lncRNA from 1 species